rnacentral:rRNA from 1 species
CCCCUAGAUGUUCUGGGCCGCACGCGCGCUACACUGACUACUUCAACGAGUUGUUUCCUUGAUCGAAAGGUCUGGGUAAUCUUUGAAAGGUAGUCGUGAUGGGGAUAGAUCCUUGCAAUUUUUGAUCUUCAACGAGGAAUUCCUAGUAAACGCAAGUCAUCAGCUUGCAUUGAUUACGUCCCUGCCCUUUGUACACACCGCCCGUCGCACCUACCGAUUGAAUGGUCCGGUGAAUCUUUAGGACUGUGGCUGAGGCCUUGCCUUGUGCGGGUCUGGCCGUGGGAAUUUAGUUAAACCUUACCAUUUAGAGGAAGGUGAANUCGUAACA